rnacentral:rRNA from 1 species
AACGUACGCUGGCGGCAUGCCUAACACGUGCAAGUCGAACGAGACCUUCGGGUCUAGUGGCGCACGGGUGCGUAACGCGUGGGAACCUGCCCUUAGGUUCGGAAUAACUCCCCGAAAGGGGUGCUAAUACCGGAUAAUGUCUUCGGACCAAAGAUUUAUCGCCUUUGGAUGGGCCCGCGUUGGAUUAGCUAGUUGGUAGGGUAAAAGCCUACCAAGGCGACGAUCCAUAGCUGGUCUGAGAGGAUGAUCAGCCACACUGGGACUGAGACACGGCCCAGACUCCUACGGGAGGCAGCAGUGGGGAAUAUUGGACAAUGGGCGAAAGCCUGAUCCAGCAAUGCCGCGUGAGUGAUGAAGGCCUUAGGGUUGUAAAGCUCUUUUACCCGGGAUGAUAAUGACAGUACCGGGAGAAUAAGCUCCGGCUAACUCCGUG